rnacentral:rRNA from 1 species
GACAGAGGCCCCGAGCGUUAGUCGGAAUUACUGGGCUUAAAGGGUGCGUAGGCUGGCGUGUAAGUGUCUUGUGAAAGCCCCGGGCUCAACCCGGGAACCGCAGGGCAUACUGCACGUCUCGAAGAAGCUAGAGGCCGGUGGAACGAUCGGUGGAGCGGUGGAAUGCGUAGAGAUCGAUCGGAACGCCAAGGGUGAAGACAACCGGCUGGGGCUUUCUUGACGCUGAGGCACGAAAGCGUGGGGAUCAAACAGG